rnacentral:rRNA from 1 species
AAAGGAAAGCGGCUUCGGCCGGGAGUACUUGGCGCAAGGGUGAGUAAUGUAUAGGUAAUCUGCCCUUUGGACUGGGAUAACCUCGAGAAAUCGAGGACAAUACCAGAUGAUGCAGCGGAACCGCAUGGUUAUGUUGUUAAAGAUUUAUCGCCAAAGGAUGAGCCUAUAUCCCAUCAGGUGGUUGGUAAGGUAACGGCUUACCAAGCCUACGACGGGUAGCUGGUCUGAGAGGAUGAUCAGCCACAUUUGGGAACUGAGACACGGUCCAGACUCCUACGGGAGGCAGCAGUGAGGAAUAUUGCGCAAUGGGCGAAAGCCUGACGCAGCAACGCCGCGUGGAUGAUGAAGUUCUUCGGAAUG